rnacentral:rRNA from 1 species
AGAGUUUGAUCCUGGCUCAGGAUGAACGCUAGCUACAGGCUUAACACAUGCAAGUCGAGGGGCAGCAUGGUCUUAGCUUGCUAAGGCCGAUGGCGACCGGCGCACGGGUGAGUAACACGUAUCCAACCUGCCGUCUACUCUUGGACAGCCUUCUGAAAGGAAGAUUAAUACAAGAUGGCAUCAUGAGUUCACAUGUUCACAUGAUUAAAGGUAUUCCGGUAGACGAUGGGGAUGCGUUCCAUUAGAUAGUAGGCGGGGUAACGGCCCACCUAGUCUUCGAUGGAUAGGGGUUCUGAGAGGAAGGUCCCCCACAUUGGAACUGAGACACGGUCCAAACUCCUACGGGAGGCAGCAGUGAGGAAUAUUGGUCAAUGGGCGCAGGCCUGAACCAGCCAAGUAGCGUGAAGGAUGACUGCCCUAUGGGUUGUAAACUUCUUUUAUAAAGGAAUAAAGUCGGGUAUGUAUACCCGUUUGCAUGUACUUUAUGAAUAAGGAUCGGCUAACUCCGUGCCAGCAGCCGCGGUAAUACGGAGGAUCCGAGCGUUAUCCGGAUUUAUUGGGUUUAAAGGGAGCGUAGAUGGAUGUUUAAGUCAGUUGUGAAAGUUUGCGGCUCAACCGUAAAAUUGCAGUUGAUACUGGAUAUCUUGAGUGCAGUUGAGGCAGGCGGAAUUCGUGGUGUAGCGGUGAAAUGCUUAGAUAUCACGAAGAACUCCGAUUGCGAAGGCAGCCUGCUGGACUGUAACUGACGCUGAUGCUCGAAAGUGUGGGUAUCAAACAGGAUUAGAUACCCUGGUAGUCCACACAGUAAACGAUGAAUACUCGCUGUUUGCGAUAUACAGUAAGCGGCCAAGCGAAAGCGUUAAGUAUUCCACCUGGGGAGUACGCCGGCAACGGUGAAACUCAAAGGAAUUGACGGGGGCCCGCACAAGCGGAGGAACAUGUGGUUUAA